rnacentral:rRNA from 1 species
AAGCACCGGCUAACUCCAUGCCGCCAGCCUUGGCCGGAUUCAUGGUGCAAGCGUUACUCGUAAUUACUGGGCGUAAUCCGCACGCAGGCCGCCUGUCUCAUCUCAUGUGAAAUCCCCGGGCUCGCCCUGGCAACUGCAUUCUAAACUGGCGUGCUACUCCCUUGUAAAGGGGGGUAUAAUUCCAGGUGUAGAAGAAAACUGGCUACAAAUCUGGAGCAAUACCGGUGGCCUGAGCCGCCCCCUGGAAAGCGACUGACGCUCACGUGAUUAAAUACGCCGAGCAAACACGAUUAAAUACCCUGGUACUCCGUGUGGGGACGAUGUCCACUUGGAGGUUGUGCCCUUGAGGCUUGGCUUCCCCACCUGGGGAGUUAAGCCGACCGGCUGGGGAUUACAGGAGCUGAGUUAAAACUCAAAUGAAUUGACGAGGGGCCUGCUUAAUUCGAGGAGCCUGUGGUUUAAUUCCAUGCGUCGAGCAAAACCUUACCUACUCUUGACAUCUGGAGA